rnacentral:rRNA from 1 species
CACGUAGGGCGCAAGCGUUGUCCGGAAUUAUUGGGCGUGAGGAGCUCGUAGGUGGUUUGUUACGUCUGCUGUGAAAACCUAGGGCUUAACCCUGGGCUUGCAGUGGAUACGGGCAGACUAGAGGUAGGUAGGGGAGAAUGGAAUUCCUGGUGUAGCGGUGAAAUGCGCAGAUAUCAGGAGGAACACCGGUGGCGAAGGCGGUUCUCUGGGCCUUAACUGACACUGAGGAGCGAAAGCGUGGGGAGCGAACAGG